UCUUUUCUUAGUUAGUUCCUUAUAUUUUUGAGCUAUUUACGUUAUUUUUGUGUUUAUAGGAUUUGUUUAUGCAAAGAAAAUAAAAAUGGCACAAAUGAGUUUUAAAUAAUAAAUUCGUCGAAAAUUGCUUUAGUCGUUCUCAUUCUGUCAUGGGUUAUUGGUAGAAUUAUGUCUCGGAUUAUAGGUCAUGGAAGUUAGGCUAAAUUUAUUAGGUAUGCAUUAGAAAUUAUAUGAUAUAUCUAAAAUUGAAGUGUUUUGCAGUUGGUGAGUAAAGAAAAGAAACAAAAA
rnacentral:lncRNA from 1 species